AGAGUUUGAUCCUGGCUCAGAACGAACGCUGGCGGCGUGCCUAACACAUGCAAGUCGGACGCGAAAGCCUGGGCAACCGGGCGAGUAGAGUGGCGCACGGGUGAGUAAUACGUGGGUAACCUACCCUCGAGUGGGGAAUAACUCCUCGAAAGGGGAGCUAAUACCGCAUAAGACCACGAUCCCUUUGGGGAUUGCGGGCAAAGGUGGCCUCAUCAGGCAGAGCGUUUGGGUGCCUGCUUCGGAUUAGAAACAGGCACCCAAACGUUUUGCCCAGUGAAGCUGCCGCUUGAGGAGGGGGCUCGCGGCCCAUCAGCUAGUUGGUAGGGUAACGGCCUACCAAGGCGACGACGGGUAGCUGGUCUGAGAGGACGACCAGCCACACGGGAAUUGAGAUACGGUCCCGACUCCUACGGGAGGCAGCAGUGGGGAAUCUUGGGCAAUGGGGGAAACCCUGACCCAGCGACGCCGUGUGGGGGAUGAAGGCCUUCGGGUUGUAAACCCCUGUUGGGUGGGACGAAUGCCUGUUCGCCAAUAGCGAACCGGUUUGACGGUACCACCAGAGAAAGCCCCGGCUAACUCCGUGCCAGCAGCCGCGGUAAUACGGAGGGGGCGAGUGUUGUUCGGAAUUACUGGGCGUAAAGGGCGCGCAGGCGGCUUGGCAAGUCAAGUGAAAUCCCUCAGCUUAACUGAGGAAUGGCGCUUGAAACUACCUCGCUAGAGGGUGGGAGAGGGAAGUGGAACUCUCGGUGUAGGGGUGAAAUCUGUAGAUAUCGAGAGGAACACCGGUGGCGAAGGCGGCUUCCUGGCCCACAUCUGACGCUGAGGCGCGAAAGCGUGGGGAGCAAACAGGAUUAGAUACCCUAGUAGUCC
rnacentral:rRNA from 1 species